rnacentral:rRNA from 1 species
UACGUAGGGACCAAGCGUUGUUCGGAUUUACUGGGCGUAAAGGGUGCGGAGGCGGCGCGGUAAGUCGGGUGUGAAAUCUCGGAGCUUAACUCCGAAACUGCAUUCGAUACUGCCGUGCUUGAGGACUGGAGAGGAGACUGGAAUUUACGGUGUAGCGGUGAAAUGCGUAGAUAUCGUAAGGAAGACCAGUGGCGAAGGCGGGUCUCUGGACAGUUCCUGACGCUGAGGCACGAAGGCCAGGGGAGCAAACGGG